rnacentral:rRNA from 1 species
UACGGAGGGAGCUAGCGUUGUUCGGAAUUACUGGGCGUAAAGCGCGCGUAGGCGGCUUUGUAAGUUAGAGGUGAAAGCCCGGGGCUCAACCCCGGAACAGCCUUUAAGACUGCAUCGCUAGAAUCCGGGAGAGGUGAGUGGAAUUCCGAGUGUAGAGGUGAAAUUCGUAGAUAUUCGGAAGAACACCAGUGGCGAAGGCGGCUCACUGGACCGGCAUUGACGCUGAGGUGCGAAAGCGUGGGGAUCAAACAGG